CUUAGGAAUCUGCCUAUUAGUGGGGGACAACGUUCCGAAAGGAGCGCUAAUACCGCAUACGUCCUACGGGAGAAAGCAGGGGACCUUCGGGCCUUGCGCUAAUAGAUGAGCCUAAGUCGGAUUAGCUAGUUGGUAGGGUAAAGGCCUACCAAGGCGACGAUCUGUAGCGGGUCUGAGAGGAUGAUCCGCCACACUGGGACUGAGACACGGCCCAGACUCCUACGGGAGGCAGCAGUGGGGAAUAUUGGACAAUGGGGGGAACCCUGAUCCAGCCAUGCCGCGUGUGUGAAGAAGGCCUUUUGGUUGUAAAGCACUUUAAGCGAGGAGGAGGCUACCUAGAUUAAUACUUUAGGAUAGUGGACGUUACUCGCAGAAUAAGCACCGGCUAACUCUGUGCCAGCAGCCGCGGUAAUACAGAGGGUGCGAGCGUUAAUCGGAUUUACUGGGCGUAAAGCGUGCGUAGGCGGCCAAUUAAGUCAAAUGUGAAAUCCCCGAGCUUAACUUGGGAAUUGCAUUCGAUACUGGUUGGCUAGAGUAUGGG
rnacentral:rRNA from 1 species